rnacentral:lncRNA from 1 species
UCGGAGAGGUAGAAUACACAAAACUAACAUAUGCAUUAUUUUUGUAAUGCGCUCUAUCAAAUGAUCCCUUAAUUAAGGUGUCGCACUCGGGGAUAGAAUACACAAAGCUAACAUAUGCAUUAUUUUUCUAAUGCACUCUACCAAACGAUCCCUUAAGGUGUUAGUGCGACGAUCUGUGCCAUGUUGAGUGUCUAGAUGGUCACGAUCAAAGUUGGGGUAUGCAUUUGUCUAUGAAAAUGCCAAGCUAAAGUGUUUAUUUAUGUACUCUCUCCGUCUCAAAUUACCCGUCCUAAAUUGAGAUGACACAGUGAUUAAGAAAAAUAAUUAAUAACAUGCCUAGUUUAUCAUAGUACCCCUAUAAAAUGAUGUUUACAUUUUAAUUUGAAGAAAAAGUAAUUAAUGCAAAAGGUAAAACAUGGGAAAAAAAUUUGUCUCUUCUUGAUUAAUGAAAAAAAGAUAAGUAAAAUGGAAAAUCAAAUUAGGAAAUUUGGGAUGGAUAAUUUGGGACGGACGGAGUAUUAUGAUUUAUUGUUUAGAAAAAAAAAGGAUAUAAUUAUG